GUUCAAACCACUUCACUGAAAAAGAGAGAAUUCCAAGGCAGAAGUUUCCUUCACUCAGUGGCUCAAGCUUCCUGUUUUUGCUGGCCUCCUCACUCAAGUCUACCUUGAGUCCUUCCCUCUGCGCACUACUGCAUGUCAAAGCUGGUGAUGCCGUGCAGAGCAGGAAUGAGGUAAAAAGCCUGACAAGGAGAUCCUUUUCUUGAAGAAAUUCUAACUGAAUCAGUAGGCACAGUUUGCAGUGAACUGCAGGGUAAAAUGAUAAAACACCACACACUGGAU
rnacentral:lncRNA from 1 species